GUGGACUCUCAAGCGUGAGGUAAGGGCAUCUGGUGAAUGCCUUGGCAUGUACAGGCGAUGAAGGACGUGGCACGCUGCGAUAAGCGUGGGGGAGCUGUGAGCAAGCUUUGAUCCCACGAUUUCCGAAUGGGACAACCCACCUUCACCAUUUAAGGCUGCGCCAGCUUUUUGCUGGAUCAGCGUUAAAUGGGAAAGGUAUCACUAAGCUGAAUAAAAUAGGCUUUGGUGAGGCGAACCCGGAGAACUGAAACAUCUCAGUACCCGGAGGAAAAGACAUCAACCGAGAUUCCGUUAGUAGUGGCGAGCGAACGCGGACCAGGCCAGUGCCGGUUUCUAAAUUAGCAGAACAAUCUGGAAAGUUUGACCAUAGCGGGUGACAGUCCCGUAUGCGAAAAUGAGGAAACCGGACUUGAGUAGGGCGGGGCACGUGAAACCCUGUCUGAACAUGGGGGGACCACCCUCCAAGCCUAAAUACUCGUACAUGACCGAUAGCGAACCAGUACCGUGAGGGAAAGGUGAAAAGCACCCCGAUGAGGGGAGUGAAACAGUACCUGAAACCGGAUGCCUACAAGCAGUGGGAGGGUCCUUGAGACCUGACCGCGUACCUCUUGCAUAAUGGGUCUGUGACUUAGUGUAUCGAGCAAGCUUAAGCCGUUAGGUGUAGGCGCAGCGAAAGCGAGUCUGAAUAGGGCGACCAUAGUUCGAUGCAUUAGACCCGAAACCCGGCGAUCUAUGCAUGACCAGGUUGAAGGUGCGGUAACACGCACUGGAGGACCGAACCGUUUAAUGUUGAAAAAUUAUCGGAUGAGUUGUGCUUAGGGGUGAAAGGCCAAUCAAGCCGGGAAAUAGCUGGUUCUCCGCGAAAUCUAUUGAGGUAGAGCGUCGGAUGAUUGCCGUUGGGGGUAGAGCACUGGAUGGUUGCGGGGGUCGCGAGAUCUACCAAUACUAACCAAACUCCGAAUACCAACGAGUCUAGUCCGGCAGACAGACGGCGGGUGCUAAGGUCCGUCGUCAAAAGGGAAACAGCCCUAACCUACAGCUAAGGUCCCCAAGUCAUCACUAAGUGGGAAAGCAUGUGGGAUUUCCAAAACAACCAGGAGGUUGGCUUAGAAGCAGCCAUCCUUUAAAGAAAGCGUAACAGCUCACUGGUCUAAAUAAGAGAUCCUGCGGCGAAGAUGUAACGGGGCUAAAGUGAUGCACCGAAGCUUAGGGUGUGUAGUUUACUACACGCGGUAGCGGAGCGUUCCGUAGGCCGUUGAAGCGGGAGGGUAACCGACCGUGGAGGUAUCGGAAGUGCGAAUGCAGACAUGAGUAGCGAUUAACAGUGUGAGAUGCACUGUCGCCGAAAUUCCAAGGGUUCCUGCUUAAAGCUAAUCUGAGCAGGGUAAGCCGGCCCCUAAGACGAGCCCGAAGGGGGUAGUCGAUGGGAACCACGUUAAUAUUCGUGGGCCUGGAGGUGUGUGACGGAUGGCGUAAAUGGUCUGGCCUUAUUGGAUUGGUCCAGGCUGUGAAGUUGUCCCAGGAAAUAGCCCCUCCGUAUAGACCGUACCCUAAACCGACACAGGUGGAAUGGUAGAGUAUACCAAGGCGUUUGAGAGAAGUAUCCUGAAGGAACUCGGCAAAUUGCCUCCGUACCUUCGGAAGAAGGAGGCCCCACAUUAAGGCAACUUUUUGUGGGGGGCACAGGCCAGGGGGUAGCGACUGUUUAGCAAAAACACAGGGCUCUGCUAAGUCGGCUUCAAGACGACGUAUAGGGCCUGACGCCUGCCCGGUGCCUGAAGGUUAAGAGGAGGUGUGCAAGCACUGAAUUGAAGCCCAGGUAAACGGCGGCCGUAACUAUAACGGUCCUAAGGUAGCGAAAUUCCUUGUCGGGUAAGUUCCGACCUGCACGAAUGGCGUAACGACUUCCCCACUGUCUCCAGGAUAUGCUCAGCGAAAUUGAAUUCUCCGUGAAGAUGCGGAGUACCCGCGGUUAGACGGAAAGACCCCGUGCACCUUUACUGCAGCUUCAGAGUGGCAUUAGGAAAGAACUGUGUAGCAUAGGUGGGAGGCUUUGAAGCAUUGACGCCAGUUGAUGUGGAGCCAUAGGUGAAAUACCACCCUGUUGUUUUCUGAUGUCUAACCUCGCACCGUUAUCCGGUGCAGGGACCCUCUGUGGCGGGUAGUUUGACUGGGGCGGUCGCCUCCUAAAGAGUAACGGAGGCGCGCGAUGGUGGGCUCAGGACGGUUGGAAACCGUCUGUUAGAGUGCAAUGGCAUAAGCCCGCCUGACUGCGAGACUGACAAGUCGAGCAGAGACGAAAGUCGGUCAUAGUGAUCCGGUGGUCCCUCGUGGAAGGGCCAUCGCUCAACGGAUAAAAGGUACGCCGGGGAUAACAGGCUGAUGAUUCCCAAGAGCUCAUAUCGACGGAAUCGUUUGGCACCUCGAUGUCGGCUCAUCACAUCCUGGGGCUGGAGCAGGUCCCAAGGGUUUGGCUGUUCGCCAAUUAAAGUGGUACGUGAGCUGGGUUCAGAACGUCGCGAGACAGUUUGGUCCCUAUCUGCCGUGGGCGUCGAAAUUUGAGAGGAGUUGACCCUAGUACGAGAGGACCGGGUUGAACAUACCUCUGGUGUACCUGUCGUUCCGCCAGGAGCGCAGCAGGGUAGCUAUGUAUGGACGGGAUAACCGCUGAAAGCAUCUAAGCGGGAAGCCUCCCUCAAGAUAAGAUUUCAUCGAGCCGUCGUAGACCACGACGUUGAUAGGCCGGAUGUAGAAGUGUGGUAACAUAUGGAGCUAACCGGUCCUAAUUGCUCUGUUCGCGCCUGA
rnacentral:rRNA from 1 species